rnacentral:lncRNA from 1 species
GUCACCACCUUCAAGAACCCCAAGAGGACCAAUUGGAUCUUCUAAAAGUGACCCUUCGCCUCAAAGCCUCGACAAUACACCUAAGUGAGACCAAUAUGAUGAAGACGAUAUGUUAGAAAUCGAUGUGGUCUAGAUUAAUGAGAAGGGAUCAUCCUCCAUUCGAGGGGCCAACACUCCAAAGUACCCCAUCACUCUCGCAAAGGCCGACCCUAUCGAGCUUCAACCAGGUGAAGUAGACAACUUGACUCGAAGAGGCCGAGUAUUCAAG